rnacentral:rRNA from 1 species
CCUACGGGAGGCAGCAGUGGGGAAUAUUGGGCAAUGGGCGCAAGCCUGACCCAGCAACGCCGCGUGAAGGAAGAAGGCUUUCGGGUUGUAAACUUCUUUUAAGGGGGAAGAGCAGAAGACGGUACCCCUUGCAUAAGCCACGGCUAACUACGUGCCAGCAGCCGCGGUAAUACGUAGGUGGCAAGCGUGGUCCGGAUUUACUGGGUGUAAAGGGCGUGCAGCCGGAGAGACAAGUCAGAUGUGAAAUCCACGGGCUCAACCCGUGAACUGCAUUUGAAACUGUUUCCCUUGAGUGUCGGAGAGGUAAUCGGAAUUCCUUGUGUAGCGGUGAAAUGCGUAGAUAUAAGGAAGAACACCAGUGGCGAAGGCGGAUUACUGGACGAUAACUGACGGUGAGGCGCGAAAGCGUGGGGAGCAAACAGGAUUAGAUACCCGGGUAGUC